GUGCUCGCUUCAGCAGCACAUAUACUAAAAUUGGAACAAUACAGAGAUUAGUGUGGCCCCUACAAAAGGAUGACACACAAAUUCAUGAAGUAUUCCAUAUAACG
ensembl:snRNA U6 U6 spliceosomal RNA